rnacentral:misc_RNA from 1 species
CGCACAUUGCGCCCAUUAGUAUUCUAGUGGGCAUGCCUGUUCGAGCGUCAUUACGACCCUUAAGCCCUAGUUGCUUAGUGUUGGGAGCCUUAGGCGUAACACCCUAACUCCCCAAAGUCAGUUGGCAGAGUUGCGGCACACUCUGAGCGUAGUAAUUCUUUAUCUCGCUUCUUGCAGUUGUCGUGGCGAUCGCCACAAACCCCUAUUUUUCUAGUGGUUGACCUCGGAUCAGGUAGGAAUACCCGCUGAACUUAA